rnacentral:tRNA from 1 species
AGCUCACUUGGCAGAGCAUGAGACUCUUAAUCUCAGAGCCAUGGGUGAAAGCCCCAU